AUUGAACGCUGGCGGCAGGCUUAACACAUGCAAGUCGAGCGGGGGGAGGUAGCUUGCUACCUAACCUAGCGGCGGACGGGUGAGUAAUGCUUAGGAAUCUGCCUAUUAGUGGGGGACAACAUUUCGAAAGGGAUGCUAAUACCGCAUACGCCCUAAGGGGGAAAGCAGGGGAUCUUCGGACCUUGCGCUAAUAGAUGAGCCUAAGUCGGAUUAGCUAGUUGGUGGGGUAAAGGCCUACCAAGGCGACGAUCUUGAGCGGGUCUGAGAGGAUGAUCCGCCACACUGGGACUGAGACACGGCCCAGACUCCUACGGGAGGCAGCAGUGGGGAAUAUUGGACAAUGGGGGGAACCCUGAUCCAGCCAUGCCGCGUGUGUGAAGAAGGCCUUUUGGUUGUAAAGCACUUUAAGCGAGGAGGAGGCUACCGAGAUUAAUACUCUUGGAUAGUGGACGUUACUCGCAGAAUAAGCACCGGCUAACUCUGUGCCAGCCGCCGCCGUAACAC
rnacentral:rRNA from 1 species